GCUCAGUUGGUAAAGCACAAGGCUUUUAACCUCGUGGACGUGGAUUCAAGUCCCAU
rnacentral:tRNA from 1 species